CCUCUGAUAGCUUGAGUCUGCAUUUGGUAUGUUCCUUUUUUGGCUGCUCUGAUCUAGCUGAUUAUGUAACUUUAGUACAUAUAAAUCUAUCUCAUUAGAUGAUGAACUGACUAAUAAUUGCAAGUCAACCAAUUGAGUCUCUGGUUGGUGAUUGGCAAAUGCCAUUUCUAAGAUUUUUAUUGGAUCAAUUCAUGUUAUGCAUGUUGAAAUAUCACAAUCUUUAGCCGUUAUGUUCCAUGUUUGCAGGAUGGACAAAAUUCAAUCAUGAAUGUUAUUCUUGAAAGUUGUACUAUAUCAUUGAUGAAUAUGUUCUUGAUUCAGCUUUAGAUUGACACUAUAUUCGUCUAACAGAGUAUAUGUUCUGGAUUCAAGAAUGAGUUUGGUGUGCCUACCCUUAGUUAUAUCGUUUUCUUAUUAAGGAGAAUUUUGUAUUGAUGAUAUAUUUUGAAAUGCUUUGUUUAAGCUUGAUAAUCAAGUGUUUACAUUCUUUUGGAUUCUGGUUCUAGUUCUAAGAAAUAGGAUCAUUUCAACCAUUUCUUUUCAUUCACAGGAACAUUUUGUAUACUGCCGUAAAGAUCCUAUGGAUAGAUAUUGUUGUGUUUUGUCAUAUAAAGCUCUGCUACUGUGUCACUGUCACAUAAAUAGCAGAGGUUGGAUGGGAAAUUUCUAAAUACGAAGAUUGGGCCAUUGGAAGUUCAGCGUAGUUUUUGAAAUAAGUCAAUAAUAAGUAUGUACUUUUUUAUGAUAUUACUAUAUGCCCACUUGCUUUAACUGUGUUGAUUGAUUUUCAGAUUUGAUUACUUGGAUGUCUCCCCUGUGCUGGUAGCUGAUGCGUACGAUACUUAUUGCAAAGCAGCUGAUGUUUGCGAUACUUCAGCAUUGCAAAGUAGGCGAUUCUCAUCUGUGAGUUGUUAUCCUUAGCAACUUUUUGGUGAUUUCAUUCUUUGAUAUCCCUUUCUAAUAGUUUUGUUGACUGUCUCUGAAAUAUGAAUGUGCUUUGUUGUCUAGUUGCAAGUGCAUUUUACUGAAUUUUGCAAGUCUCAUAUGGUUUUGCAUCUCUUGGAUUGCAUGUUACAUGUUUUGGAUUUGAAUUAUAUUUGCUUGAUACUAUUAUUUUAACACAUUCCAGGUUUUACGUUU